CACAAGCGGUGGAUCAUGUUGUUUAAUUCGAUGAUACGCGAAGAACCUUACCAGGUCUUGACAUCCCAUGCAAAGCUAUAGAGAUAUAGUGGAGGUUAUCAUGGAGACAGGUGGUGCAUGGUUGUCGUCAGCUCGUGUCGUGAGAUGUUGGGUUAAGUCCCGCAACGAGCGCAACCCUUAUUGCUAGUUACCAUCAUUAAGUUGGGGACUCUAGCGAGACUGCCAGUGAUAAACUGGAGGAAGGUGGGGAUGACGUCAAAUCAUCAUGCCCCUUAUGACCUGGGCUACAAACGUGAUACAAUGGCUGAAACAAAGGGCAGCGAAGCAGUGAUGUGAAGCGAAACCCAAAAAAGCAGUCUCAGUUCGGAUUGAAGUCUGCAACUCGACUUCAUGAAGUCGGAAUCGCUAGUAAUCGCGAAUCAGAACGUCGCGGUGAAUACGUUCUCGGGGUUU
rnacentral:rRNA from 1 species